rnacentral:rRNA from 1 species
CUGGAAGGUUAUUGAUGGGGUUAGCCGCAGGGCGAGGCUCUUGACAGAAGCCCCAGUAAACGGCGGCCGUAACUAUAACGGUCCUAAGGUAGCGAAAUUCCUUGUCGGGUAAGUUCCGACCUGCACGAAUGGCGUAAUGAUGGCCAGGCUGUCUCCACCCGAGACUCAGUGAAAUUGAACUCGCUGUGAAGAUGCAGUGUCCCCGCGGCAAGACGGAAAGACCCCGUGAACCUUUACUAUAGCUUGACACUGAACAUGGAGCCUUGAUGUGCAGGAUAGGUGGGAGGCUGAGAAGUGCGGACGCCAGUCUGCGUGGAGCCAUCCUUGAAAUACCACCCUUGAAUGUUCGAUGUUCUCACCUGGGCCCGUAAACCGGGCCGGGGACAGUGUCUGGCGGGUAGUUUGACUGGGGCGGUCUCCUCCCAAAGCGUAACGGAGGAGCACGAAGGUUGGCUAAUCACGGUCGGACAUCGUGAGGUUAGUGCAAAGGCAUAAGCCAGCUUAACUGCGAGAGUGACGGUUCGAGCAGGUACGAAAGUAGGUCUUAG